rnacentral:rRNA from 1 species
UACGUAGGGUGCAGGCGUUAAUCGGAAUUACUGGGCGUAAAGCGUGCGCAGGCGGUUCGUCGUGUCCGAUGUGAAAGCCCCGGGCUCAACCUGGGAAUGGCAUUGGAAACUGGCGGGCUCGAGUGUGGCAGAGGGGGGUGGAAUUCCGCGUGUAGCAGUGAAAUGCGUAGAGAUGCGGAGGAACACCGAUGGCAAAGGCAGCCCCCUGGGCUAACACUGACGCUCAGGCACGAAAGCGUGGGGAGCAAACAGG